AGCAGUGUGGUGUAGUGGUUUGAGCAUUAGACUAUGACUCUAGAGACCAGGGUUCAAAUCCUGACUCGACCA
rnacentral:tRNA from 1 species